GACGGAGGAUGCAAGUGUUAUCCGGAAUUAUUGGGCGUAAAGCGUUUGUAGGUGGAAAAAUAAGUCUAUUGUUAAAUCCAGGAGCUCAACUUCUGUACAGCGAUAGAAACUAUUUUUCUUGAGAAUGGUAGGGGUAGAAGGAAUUCCUAGUGUAGCGGUGAAAUGCGUAGAUAUUAGGAAGAACACCAAAGGCGAAGGCAUUCUACUGGGCCACUUCUGACACUGAGAGACGAAAGCUAGGGGAGCGAAUGGGAUUAGAUACCCCAGUAGUCCUAGCUGUAAACGAUGGAUACUAGGGGAUGCACAUUCGAUGUAUGCUCGCAGUUCACACAGUAAGUAUCCCGCCUGGGGAGUACGCUCGCAAGGGUG
rnacentral:rRNA from 1 species